rnacentral:rRNA from 1 species
AUUGAACGCUGGCGGCGGGCCUAACACAUGAAAGUCGAACGAGUGGCGGACGGGUGAGUAAUGUCUGGGUAACUGCCCGAUGGAGGGGGAUAACUACUGGAAACGGUAGCUAAUACCGCAUAUCAUCGGAUGUGCCAAGAUGGGAUUAGCUAGUAGGUUGGGUAACGGCUCACAUGGGCGACGAGCCCUAGCUGGGCUGAGAGGGUGACCAGCCACACUGGAACUGAGACACGGUCCAGACUCCUACGGGAGGCAGCAGUGGGGAAUAUUGCACAAUGGGCGCAAGCCUGAUGCAGCCAUGCCGCGUGUAUGAAGAAGGCCUUCGGGUGGUAAAGUACUGUCAGCGAGGAGGCGUUACUCGCAGAAGAAGCACCGGCUAACUCCGUGCCAGCAGCCGCGGUAAUAC